AUGUCCUCUUGCCUUAGCCUCCUGAAUGCUGGGAUUAUAAUAGGCAUGUGUUAGGGUGCCUGCCUCAAGCCUGUGUACAUUUUCCCCCAGAGAAUGUUAAUUAGGCAUCAUGUGGUAGAAAACUGAGAAGACACCAGAGGUUUAGUGAAAGUAUACUCCUACUUCUCCCCCUCUGCUUCACCACAGAUCCUCUCAGAAAGUUAUUACCUUCCCAGAAUCAUCUUACAUGUUUAAUGUUUAGAUUAACUCCUAUUAACAAAUAUCACAACUGUUGCCUUCAUUACUGCCCAAGGAGAGCAUGACAGAUAAUACGAGGAUCCAAGGUCAAGGGCAGAGCCUUGACAGAUAAGAGUCCCGAAGCUUUUGGGAUUUUGUUUAGACUACAUAUUUUAAGGGCUGGAAGGAUGGCUUAAUGGUACUAGUGGUUCUUCCAGAUAGAGUUCAGUUCCCAGCACCCACGUGGUGACUCACAGCAGUCUCUAACUCCAGUUCCAAGGGAAUCCAAUGCCCUUGUCUGGCCUUUUCGGGGCUCUGCACACACACAUGAUGCAGAUAUACAUGCAGGCAAAACAUCCAUUCUCAUAAAAUAAAAAAUUAAAAGUUACAUCCUUCCCAGGCCUCGUUAGCCACUGUUAACCAUAUUGUUUACUCUUAUUACUUGGCACUGUUACCUGUAACUUCACUUGUUUACAAUUGAGGAUUUAGGUAAAGUCAAGGUAAAUAAUUAAUCUUCUUGGCCACCCUGGCUUGACUAUGUAUAUAAGUAUUGCUCAGCAUUAUUUAAGUAAAUGCUUAUAUUGGUUAUUUUAACAAAAAAAAGAAUUUAUUUUAUUAAGGUUUCAAAGGAUUCAGGUCAUCUUGACCCAAGUUUUGGGGCCUAUUUUGAGACAUAAGAAUGUGAGGUAAUCAAGCUUCCAAGAGAAGGGAAUGCUGGACUGUGCCAUUUAUCCAUUUAUUUUGUUCAGGCACUAAGCUCAUAAGAUGCUUUCAGCCACAUUUAGGGUUAAUCCUUUGUAGAAAAUUCAGGUAUUUUAGGCCAAGGUGAAGAAAUUAACCAUCACAGUGCUUAAAUGGUAUCCCAGGAGUCCAUUACUUUUAAUCUACGUAAUUUGAAACAGCAAUCUCAGUGUUUAUAAUAAAGGACUCAACUUGAACUCUAA